CAACAGGGAUUGCCCUAGUAACGGCGAGUGAAGCGGCAACAGCUCAAAUUUGAAAUCUGGCUUCGGCCCGAGUUGUAAUUUGCAGAGGAUGUUUCUGGCGCGGUGCCUUCCGAGUUCCCUGGAACGGGACGCCACAGAGGGUGAGAGCCCCGUAUGGUCGGACACCAAGCCUGUGUGAAACUCCUUCAACGAGUCGAGUAGUUUGGGAAUGCUGCUCUAAAUGGGAGGUAAAUCUCUUCUAAAGCUAAAUACCGGCCAGAGACCGAUAGCGCACAAGUAGAGUGAUCGAAAGAUGAAAAGCACCUUGAAAAGGGGGUUAAAUAGUACGUGAAAUUGUUGAAAGGGAAGCACUUAUGACCAGACUUGGGCCGGGCGGCUCAUCAGGGGUUCUCCCCUGUGCACUCCGCCCGGCACAGGCCAGCAUCGGUUUUCGCGGGGGGAUAAGACCGACGGGAACGUAGCACCCUCCGGGGUGUGUUAUAGCCCGGCGGACGAUACCCUCGCGGGGACCGAGGUCCGCGCUCCGCAAGGAUGCUG
rnacentral:rRNA from 1 species